CAGUACCUAAGUCCUCCAGACAGAUACACUUAAAUUUAUUUGCAUAACCAGUGCUACAGUAAAAGAACGCACACUGCAGUCCUCAGGGAUCCACUGGGAAAAGUUUACCACCAGUGUACUCUGACCUGUUGGGCCUGUCACAUCACAGUCAGCUAUGUGCCACACACACGGACACAAACACCGCAAUCAUUUGUCAUCAACAACGCGAACGGACUGAUCAGUUGUCAGUGCUCAAACAGCCUACCUGUAACUGUGCACACCAGUGCUCCACUUUGCUGCCACCUCUAUGCUUCACAGCGCUGAGCUUCUCGACGAGGAAACAUGUCAGCAUCGCACUGCAGAAAAGCACGGCUCGGACACACACACGGGCUACGGCUGAUCAUCUGAGGUAGGUGUUUCGGGGAAGAAAAACCCCGAUCGGGUGCGGCAUCGCAGAGGCAGUGUGGAAGUCUUUCCGGGGAGCUGCGACUGACUCACUGUGAGCUGAGAGGCUGCGCUCUGCACCGGGAGCGCGCACCACUGAAUCGAUAGCGAGCCCGAGCGGCUGGGAUGUUUUAGCCGCUGGGGCUCCCGGACCUUUUCAAAGUCAAGGACCCAGAUAUAAGACAGGCGUAUGGGUAUGCGAGCAUGCACAGUACAGUGUGAUGAUGUUCUUCAGCUCGAGGAACCGCAAUUGAGCAGUGUUAGGUAUAUGCAGAUGGCUGCUCAUUUGUUUGCUUUCCACCCUGCCGGAGGGAAUUUGAACAAAGGGACAAAGGUCAAAGCUUCAUCUUCUCUCAAGUUAUUUGUUUUCCUCAUUGUGGCACGGCCACCGCACCAUUCAUUCCUUAAUAUCUCAACUAAGAUGGCAAAAUAGAUAUCACUGAAAAGCAUGCCUUUGAAUAGUCUUUUAUCUUCUUUGUUCUAAAUUACAAUGUAUUUGUCAGAUUUAGCAGUAAAUUCAGAUGAUAUCUGACAUUUUUUUUCUUGUCUUAAAGGGAAAAAAAGUAAAACCUGGCACUUCUGUGCUGCUCUGGCCGGUGUGUCCUAAAAUGAUUAAU